rnacentral:lncRNA from 1 species
GAAACAGGCUGCAAAACCGCAGGAUGAAAGCAACUAGAAGCGUGGGUUUGGAAGAGGCAGACCCGUUGAGGCCAUCUUCCUGAGGUCUGGAAGCAAGGAAGGACUUGGCAGCAGAAUUUGAAAGCUCAAGAGAGCUUCGGAACAGCAGCUCCACAGCCCCAUUUCCAGAUUUGACUUAUGUUAUGUUCGAAUGAAAUGUCUUGCUUCCUGAGUGCUGCUUUGCCCUCCCUUCACCACAGUAGCCACUCUUCUUCCAAAGCCAUCAAGGAGAAUUUGCUUGGUGGUCAAAUAGGCAUGAAGGUCUGGCGUUGCACAGCAUUUUUCAGCAAGAUGGUUGUGUGCAGAAAGCCCUCAGACAACUACCGGAAGGAAGAAACUGAAAAUAAAUACCAUCCAUUGGAAGCUUUGGAUUAUUUGCUUCUGUCUGUUGGGAAUCGACGUAUAAAAUGAAUUGGGAUGCACAGCUGUUUCCAGAAGACAAUUCAAUUGAACAGAACAACUCACACUUCAUAAACAGGCAUCCAGAGCUCUGGGAAGAUGACUCAAGAGCGAGAAGGAAGACCUGAGUUCAACACCCAGAAUCUGCAGAAAUCUGGGCCCAGUGGCACACAGCUGUAAUUCCAGAGCUUGUGGUGAGGUGGGAGGCAGAUGAAGAAUACUAGAAGCUGCAAGGCCAGCUAUCCUGGAGUACACAGCAAGGAAACAAAAGAGACCCAGUCCCAAACAAAGUGAGAGGUGGGUACAAACUGCAGAGGAAAUUCUAUGACCUCUGCAUGUACAAAACCAUGUGCCCAAAAGUCAGGACACGCUCUAGAGGAGGGGAGCGCUAUUCUCUGAGGAGGGGAGCGCUAUUCUCUGAGGUGCGCUGCUCUUUGCUUCUGUCCAUUUCCUUCCUUGUCUAACUUGCCCUUCAUUUAAAAAAAAAUCUCACUCCCUGAGGACUGCUCAAAAGUGUGUAUCAGUGACUUACCAUUCUUCAAUUUUAUUGAGGUUCACCUAUUUCAUAUCCUAAGCAUCAUGUAUGUACUUCAUUAUAGAUGGAAAUUCAGGCUGUUUUCAAUCUCUCCACUGAUUAUUUUCUGGUUACCUGUGAAAGCAGUUUGCUGGGCAGAAUUGAUGGGUCAACUUAGCAGGCCAUGUCCAGGGGCUUGUAGACCUCGGUUUCAUCAGACUGAAGCAGGCAUUAUAGGUACUGGACACUGCCAGAACUGCAGUGUCUGCCAGGAGCAUGGCUCUAAAAUCAUAUACCAC